rnacentral:rRNA from 1 species
CCUGGCUCAGAUUGAACGCUGGCGGCAGGCCUAACACAUGCAAGUCGAGCGGAAACGGCAGUAUUGAAGCUUCGGUGGAUUUACUGGACGUCGAGCGGCGGACGGGUGAGUAACGGCUGGGAACCUGCCCUGACGAGGGGGAUAACCGUUGGAAACGACGGCUAAUACCGCAUAAUGUCUACGGACCAAAGGUGGCCUCUACAUGUAAGCUAUCGCGUUGGGAUGGGCCCAGUUAGGAUUAGCUAGUUGGUAAGGUAAUGGCUUACCAAGGCAACGAUCCUUAGCUGGUUUGAGAGGAUGAUCAGCCACACUGGGACUGAGACACGGCCCAGACUCCUACGGGAGGCAGCAGUGGGGAAUAUUGCACAAUGGGGGAGACCCUGAUGCAGCCAUGCCGCGUGUGUGAAGAAGGCCUUCGGGUUGUAAAGCACUUUCAGCAGUGAGGAAGGUCGUGUACUUAAUACGUGCACGGCUUGACGUUAGCUGCAGAAGAAGCACCGGCUAACUCCGUGCCAGCAGCCGCGGUAAUACGGAGGGUGCGAGCGUUAAUCGGAAUUACUGGGCGUAAAGCGCAUGCAGGCGGUUUGUUAAGUCAGAUGUGAAAGCCCGGGGCUCAACCUCGGAACCGCAUUUGAAACUGGCAGGCUAGAGUCUUGUAGAGGGGGGUAGAAUUUCAGGUGUAGCGGUGAAAUGCGUAGAGAUCUGAAGGAAUACCAGUGGCGAAGGCGGCCCCCUGGACAAAGACUGACGCUCAG